UGCCGCGUGCAGGAAGACUGCCCUAUGGGUUGUAAACUGCUUUUUUACGGGAAGAAUAAGGAUCACGUGUGAUCUGAUGACGGUACCGUAGGAAUAAGCACCGGCUAACUCCGUGCCAGCAGCCGCGGUAAUACGGAGGGUGCAAGCGUUAUCCGGAAUCAUUGGGUUUAAAGGGUCCGUAGGUGGAUUAAUAAGUCAGUGGUGAAAGUCUUCCGCUCAACGGGAGAACUGCCAUUGAUACUGUUAAUCUUGAAUUGUUAUGAAGUAGCUAGAAUAUGUGGUGUAGCGGUGAAAUGCAUAGAUAUCACAUAGAAUACCGAUUGCGAAGGCAGGCUACUAAUAAUAUAUUGACACUGAUGGACGAAAGCGUGGGGAGCGAACGGGAUUAGAUACCCCGGUAGUCCACGCCGUAAACGAUGGUUACUAGCUGUCCGGCCCAAUUGAGGGCUGGGUGGCCAAGCGAAAGUGAUAAGUAACCCACCUGGGGAGUACGUUCGCAAGAAUGAAACUCAAAGGAAUUGACGGGGGCCCGCACAAGCGGUGGAGCAUGUGGUUUAAUUCGAUGAUACGCGAGGAACCUUACCAGGGCUUAAAUGCAGUCUGACAGAUCUAGAAAUAGAUUUUUCUUCGGACAGAUUGCAAGGUGCUGCAUGGUUGUCGUCAGCUCGUGCCGUGAGGUGUCAGGUUAAGUCCUAUAACGAGCGCAACCCCUGUGGUUAGUUGCCAGCGAGUCAAGUCGGGAACUCUAGCCAGACUGCCGGUGCAAACCGUGAGGAAGGU
rnacentral:rRNA from 1 species